rnacentral:tRNA from 1 species
UUCGCGCAGGUGCGCGCGUUCGCACACGCGCCUUCGGGCGACGCGGCGAGUCUCACCGCGCAGCUCGACGGUGCGAUCGCCGCCGCGCGGCU